rnacentral:lncRNA from 1 species
CCACAGUUUGUAGGUGUGGAGGGCUUCAUCACCGGCCUCCUCGACCUCCUCCCAGCCUCCUACUACUUCUGUUUCCAAAGGGAGAUCUCUGUGGCCCUCUGUUGUGCCCUCUGCUUUGUCACUGAUCUCUCCAUGGUGACUGAUGGUGGGAUGUAUGUCUUCCAGCUGUUUGACUACUACUCAGCCAGCGGCACCACCCUGCUCUGGCAGGCCUUUUGGGAGUGCGUGGUGGUGGC